UACGAAGGGGGCUAGCGUUGCUCGGAAUCACUGGGCGUAAAGGGCGCGUAGGCGGCGUUUUUAAGUCGGGGUGAAAGCCUGUGGCUCAACCACAGAAUGGCCUUCGAUACUGGGACGCUUGAGUAUGGUAGAGGUUGGUGGAACUGCGAGUGUAGAGGUGAAAUUCGUAGAUAUUCGCAAGAACACCGGUGGCGAAGGCGACACACUGGGCCAUUACUGACGCUGAGGUGCGAAAGCGUGGGGAGCAAACAGG
rnacentral:rRNA from 1 species